CUUGGUCACUAUAACUACUGUAGGCAGACACACUUCAGAAGUGGAUCUUCAUGUGCCUGGCAAUGUCUCUCUUUGUCUUAAAGAGCUUUCCACAAACAUCACACUUGAACUCUCUAAGGCCAUAGUGCCUGAAGACAUGUCGAUUGAGUGCCUGCUUCACACUGAACCUCUUCCCGCACUCUUCACACUCAUGAUUUUUUACACCAGUGUGUGUAAGGGUGUGUGUAUCAAGGUUACCCUUCAGGGUGAAUAGUUUCCCACAUUCCUUACAUUCAUAGUUCUUCACACCAGUGUGUGUAAGGGUGUGUCUAUCAAGGUGACCCUUCCGGAUGAAUUGUUUCCCACAUUCCUUACAUUCAUAGUUCUUCACACCAGUGUGUGUAAGGGUGUGUGUAUCAAGGUGACCCUUCAGGGUGAAUUUUUUCCCACAUUCCUUACAUUCAUAGUUCUUCACACCAGUGUGUGUAAGGGUGUGUGUAUCAAGGCUACCCUUCCGGUUGAAUUUUUUUCCACAUUCCUUACAUUCAUAGUUCUUCACACCAGUGUGUGUAAGGGUGUGUG